rnacentral:rRNA from 1 species
GACAGAGGUGCCGAGCGUUAGGCGGAAUCACUGGGCUUAAAGCGUGUGUAGGCGGGUGCCUAAGUCGUGUGUUAAAGCCCCUGGCUCAACUGGGGGAGGUCAUGCGAGACUGGAUGACUUGAGGGCAACAGAGGCACGUGGAACUCCCGGUUUAGCGGUGGAAUGCGUAGAGAUCGGGAAGAACACCCGUGGCGAAGGCGGCGUGCUGGGUUGCAACUGACGCUGAGAUGCGAAAGUGUGGGGAGCAAACGGG